CCGAAAAUUAGUAAAUUUUACUCAUUGAGAGAUUGUUGUUUUUAAAUCACCUUAGUUACAUUUCCACUCAAGGCAUUUCGCGCCACAUAGAUGGAACACACACACAUUUCAUGGAAACUUUCCAAAAGGUAAGACCCGUUUUAUUUAUUGUUGCACAUAUAGCCCUAUGCAGUCGGACAUUAUUUUUAUCUACUGUAAGUUCGCAAAUCAAUUUUGCUGUGAGGUAGCCUAACUCAAACUGGUUUUAACGAAGCUGGUUUUAUUUAUACGUCGUGGGCGGUGGUAGUGUAAUGGUUAAGGAGCUGGGCUAGCGUGCAGUAACCUGAAAGUUGUCUGUUCAAUUCCCGGCUUCCACCGUUGUGCCCUUGAGCAAGGAGGAAGCAAGGGAGCAAGGAACCAGAGUUGCUCCGGGGACAAUGUGAUCCCUUGUAAUAUAGCUGACAUAUAUCCAGGUGAUGCAUUUUACAGAAUCACAAUGGUGAAUCAAGUUAAUGGCCAAGCUAGCUGCUAGCUGCUACACCAAAGCUUCUGAAUCUCUUCCAAGCCAAGGGUGGAACCAUAGGGUUGAGGUUGCAGGCUAUCCUACUCAAGGCUCCAACCAAUCCUAACGCUAACUUGACCAGAGAUGUUGUCAUCAGUGUUUGGGGGAUCUUUAGAUCAUCUUCUAAAAAAGUAUGAUGAUGCUGAUGAAGAUAGUGUGCCACAGGAGCUUGCUGUACAAAAAAUGUAAAUCAACAGCAUCGAGACCAAUACAUCAGAGGUAUCCCGCUGACGUUGGUAUCGUGGUAGAGGGAAUGAAAGUUCUGACUGCUCUGGAUAACUUUCCAAGGGCUUGCUCCAUGCUCCUUGGGUGGACAUAUUCAGUGAAUCCAGCCUAUACCAAGGAGCCCAGAUAUACGUUUGAAAUCCCCCAGAAACUCCUCUUUGAGCUGGACUGUUCAAAGCCAAAAGUGCAUCUCCGAAGACGAGAGCGGUGUAAUAUCCUCAAACGCAAUAAGGGCAGAUAGCGGCAGCCUGAGCCAGGCUUGCUGAUGGAUAACUACCUGCCCCCUCUGUCUGGAUCUCCCUGUCCCAGUAGGCCGUGUUG